rnacentral:tRNA from 1 species
UUAAUUGAAGCCAAAAAUGAGGCCUAUCACUGUUAAUGAUAUCAUUGAAUUUAAUUUCCAAUUAAA